ACGCCGCGUGAGUGAUGAAGGCUUUCGAGUCGUAAAGCUCUUUGAUCAGGGAUGAUAAUGACAGUACCUGAAAAACAAGCCACGGCUAACUACGUGCCAGCAGCCGCGGUAAUACGUAGGUGGCGAGCGUUGUCCGGAAUUACUGGGCGUAAAGGAUGCGUAGGUGGAUAUUUAAGUGGGAUGUGAAAUCCCCGGGCUCAACCCGGGAACUGCAUUCCAAACUGGAUGUCUAGAGUGCAGGAGAGGAAAGCGGAAUUCCUAGUGUAGCGGUGAAAUGCGUAGAUAUUAGGAGGAACACCAGUGGCGAAGGCGGCUUUCUGGACUGUAACUGACACUGAGGCAUGAAAGCGUGGGUAGCAAACAGGAUUAGAUACCCUGGUAGUCCACGCCGUAAACGAUGGGUACUAGGUGUAGGAGGUAUCGACCCCUUCUGUGCCGUCGUUAACACAAUAAGUACCCCGCCUGGGGAGUACGGUCGCAAGACUAAAACUCAAAGGAAUUGACGGGGGCCCGCACAAGCAGCGGAGCAUGUGGUUUAAUUCGAAGCAACGCGAAGAACCUUACCUAGACUUGACAUCUCCUGCAUUACCCUUAAUCGGGGAAGCCCUUCGGGGCAGGAAGACAGGUGGUGCAUGGUUGUCGUCAGCUCGUGUCGUGAGAUGUUGGGUUAAGUCCCGCAACGAGCGCAACCCUUAUUUUUAGUUGCUACCAUUCAGUUGAGCACUCUAAAGAGACUGCCCGGGUUAACCGGGAGGAAGGUGGGGAUGACGUCAAAUCAUCAUGCCCCUUAUGUCUAGGGCUACACACGUGCUACAAUGGUGAGAAACAAGAGACGCAAGACCGCGAGGUGGAGCAAAUCUCACAAAACUCAUCCCAGUUCGGAAUGCANGCUGAAACUCGCCUGCAUGAAGCCGGAGUUGCUAGUAA
rnacentral:rRNA from 2 species